CCACGUCAUACCACCACUUUUUUUCUAAUUUCUCUAGCACCAGAAAUUUCAGGAAUUUCCACUUUCCUUUCUCUAUAUAUGAUCAAAGACCUGAUAGAACCCAAGAGGAUUUUGGCAAGUUUCCUUUAAUAUAACCUAAAAAUUCAACAAAGAUUUCAAUUUUGUUCUUGGUGAAGAAGAAGAAGAAGAAGAAGAAGAAGAAGAAGAAGAAGAAGAAGAAGAAGAAGAAAAAGAUAAUGGUGGUAGAGUUCUUUCUUGGGUGCACGGGAGUUGUGAUGCUCCUUCACGGAGCCAAUUUCUUCUUCCAUGCUCUCUCUUCUCAUUUCGCAGCCAUUCGUGCAAUCAGUUUCUUGGGAUUUGCGGCUUGGUAGAGACGGAAGAGACGGAAGAUGUUGUCAUGUCAAGUAAUGCUAUUAUGAGUGUUGUUCAUUAUCGUCUAUGACAAUGGCAUAAACGAAUUAGAAUAUAUUUUUAUUUAUCGAAUAAUGUCACAAUGACUCGACUGUAUCAUAGACCGAUAAUGAAACAACAUUUAUAAUAGAAAGCUUGAAUAUCAAUGGCAAGCUAUUUUUAAAUAUUGCAAGGACUAUAAUAAUAUUAACAGUAUAAUUGUAUAUGUUAGCAAGGUGUGACUCCUUCUACAUUUGAGGGGCUACAAAUACAUUAGUAUAUUCAUGCCUACUUCGUGAAAAAGCAAGUUUAAUUCUCUCUAGGUUUGGGCAAACAUGAAUGAAGUGAUUGUAAUUCAUUCAAUUUACAAAUGUUAAUAUGCAAUAUUGUACUUCCUCCGUCCUAAUUAUA